ACUCCUUGGUAGCAGACUAUAUUCUCAUCAAUUUUUCCAAUGGGAGUUGUGAUUCCUAUUAUUGUUGUAACUAGACUUAGAUGAUGAAGAUCCAUACUUGUUUGGAUAAACAAGCUUCUUGAAUUUCACCUAGGUCUAAUACUCGAUGGUAAACCCUAACUCCUUGUCCAUGUACUUUUCGGUAAAGUUGAAUUUAGCCUUUUACUUUUAGCCCAACUGACUAGUGUUUUUGUCCACUACCUGUUCAGCCUUGUAAUUUUCAGUGUAAUGGCUUGAGGCUCUACCAUAUUCAUCAUUCUACGAAGAUCGAGCUUUACUCUGAACUUCUCUGGACUCAUUGAACUUUGGUUUCUUCAAGGGCAUCACUUUAAGGUAACCAAUAGUGCCACUGCAUACAUUUGCAGGCUGCUUUGUAUCUUUCUUCUUCGUCAUUCUGCUAAUUCAGAGGUUCUAUGCUUAAUUUUUGAACUUUGAAACAACUCUCACAAAGUAUUGUGAAUUUCAAAUUGUCUUUGGCCUCGUCAAAUCUUAUUAACAGUUCUUAACUACUCUUGAGAUUAGACCUAUUUUAUUUUGGCUAAGAAACUAGUCAAUCUUACUGUGAUGAUUAACCAAAUAAUCAUAGACAGUGACUCCUAUUUCUGCAUCUUCACCUUCAUUCGCUUGUUUGUUUCUCAAUGUAAUAUGGAUCAUGCUGGAACAAUACACCGAGGAUGACAAAAAAAAUAAAACGUUUGUUCUCGGCAUGGUUUCUAGUUCAAAUCCUAACAUCUUGUACUCUAGAUUCUAAUGGACUUGUUUUGACCCUUAAAUUCUUGAGUGUUCUUUCAACCUUCUCGACAUGGUUUCUCGCUCAAUCAGUGAGGAAUUCACGAUCAAUCGAUUUGGUGAAAGUGUGCGCCCAAUUCUUAUCAAUUUGGAUAGGAAUGUUAGGGGCAUAACCUUUCACAAGCUUACCAAACUUACCAGAAACAAUUCCAUGUAGGUGUGAAGUUAAGUCGUCUUUUGGUAAGAGAUUGGUGAAGAUUGUAGUGUAAAUGAUCAGUUGAUUGCAUCACUAUCUUCACGCGGAAUUGAAUGGUCACCACUCAUUGUCUUGUUGCAAUUCAUCACCAUCAUAUCGUACUCUGGUAGACCUUUUCGAUGAUGUAAUGUGUUCGCCUCAACGCAGUUUUCCACUACCUCUCACCAGGAUCAUUCGGUUCGAGAGCACAUGGGCAUGAGGUUUAGGCGGUCUUUUAGUAAGAGUUGGAUGAAGGUUUUAGUACAGAAGGUCAGCAGAUUGUAUCACCAUCUUACUAUAAUUCAUAGGCAUCACAUCGGUUAUUUUCCAACGUUAUGUGUUUGUCUCAAAGCAUCUUUUCACUGCUUCACUUUUGAACCUUAUUGUUGUGAGUAGGCGGAUGUCGAAACACUUCUAGCAAAUCUGUUUGGUGCACUUUGGGAUGGCACUACAGCACGGUUGAGGCGAGAAUUGGAUAAUCUUUACACCUUUCUCAAAAGGUGUGUGCCCUUUUUUGUUUUUCGGUUGAUCAUUUGCGAGUUGUUCUUCUUUCCACCAACUUUGGCCUUGUUUGACUAGAAAUUUGCAACUAUGUAAAAAUGGAGAAGUGGUUUGAGCACUACAACAGCUUGUCGAGGAAGAUGACUUAUCAUUUUCUACUUGCUUGGUUCGAGCUUUUGGGUUUACUAUUAACAUAGUAGCCACUUCUCUUGAAUCUCAAGGUAUAGUUUUCAAAUGGGUUCUUUAUUUGUGAAACUAUGGAGUAGUUGGUCACAUUUGGAAGAACGGAGGAGAAUAAGAUGCUUGGUGCUAGAUGCAGUUGUUACGACGAUAGUUUUUAUUUUGUUUGGUUGGGUACGACACUUUUGUGACAUAGUAUGAAAGUUUUCUACAUGCAACACUGGUUGGCAGAGGAGUAUUGUGAACUGGUAUUCGGAUGAUUAAAUUUACGACAUGUGAAAUUGUGCACCCUUAGAAAAUUACUGCCUGUUUAUCGAGACAACAAUGUGUUAUCGAUAUCGCGAACUGCAGACUGUGAUAUCAAUAACUUAUUUGUUGGGUUCGUUAAGCAAGUGGGCAGGAAGACCUGUCUUCAAUAGUGGUUACAGAUUUGUUAUUGUUGGGGCUCGAUCCAAAAACACAUAUAUUCUCGGAGUACGUGACGUUUUGAAUUCUUGGGCAAGACCCACUUUCAUUUCCGAUUUUGGAUUUUCAGUAUAAAUAUUUUAACUUACGUUACUAGUUAUUUAUUUUGACGUUACAGAUGUUUUGGGGGAAGUAUUUCCGUUUUCAGUUUUAAGUUUAGCACAAGUUUUCGACCUAUAUGUUUUUACCUAUCUAUUUUGAUGUUAUCGUAUUUUACGUCCUUACUUUUGGCCUUAAGCUAUUUUGUGUUUUCGACUUUAUAUUUCAUUAAAGUAUGUUUCUACUUUUCCACUGAUGGGGAAAGAAAGUAAGAGCUCGGAGGCAUGAUAGAGGAUUUGGCAAACCGUUUGCGAUGGUGUGGCGUAUUCUCUUUGAUGCACCCACUCUGACUUGAUUUCUCUUUAUACAUAAAUUCUUCUUCCUAUUUUCAAGUUUUUUAGUGUAGUCAGUUAUUUCAAAUUUCGGGGACGAAAUUUCAUUAAGGGGGGUAGAUUGUAAAACCGCACCCUCAAUUAUAAAGGUAAUUUUGAGUUUUUAUUUAAAAAAUGGUUUUUUUAAGGCCUUAAUAGGUGUGCCCAGAGGGCCCACCUUGUUUUUGUGUCCCUGGUUUUUCCCUCUUUUUCUGAUUUCUAACACACACACACACACACAUAAUUCCCUCUCAUUUCCCUCACUUCUCCCAUAACUCUUUCUCUCUCUCUCUCUCUCCCUCU
rnacentral:lncRNA from 1 species